GGAAGGGCGGGUGAGAGAGAGAGAGAGAUAUAUAUAAACACUAACAGCUUACAUUACACUCCUCACAUUCACCCAGCCUGAGGUGAGACAUGGGAGGUUUCCACAGAACCUGGCUGUGAAUCAAACUAGGGAGUAGGCUGUGAAUCAAACUAGGGAUUGGGCUGUGAAUCAAACUAUGGAGUGGGCUGUGAAUCAAACUAGGGAGUAGGCGGUGCCAGUUUGCCACUCUCCCUCCUAAAUCUAACCCGAGGAAAAAUAAGGUUAUUAAUUCACAGAGAUCUUCUCUUCCUUCCAAGAAGAGAGAGAUUUUUCUUACUUCAAAAAAAAAGUUGAGAUGAAUGUUUUUUUAAAGGAAGAGAUAGUAUGGUCAGUGUAGUACUUGGAAU
rnacentral:lncRNA from 1 species